CCUCCCCAGCUCCCUCUCCGCCUACCUCCGUCGCCCCUCCUCGCCGCCGCUCCUCCUGCUCUCCGCCACCGCCUUGGGGCGUGGCUCGGAGGGAGAUGGCGCGUGCCGGCCGGCCACGGCGCGGCUACUCCAGCGCAUGGAGCAGAGCGACAGCCCUCGCGUGCCCAGCCCCUUGCCUAGCCACACCUUGGAUGCGGAGGAGGCACGACUCGCCGAGGUCGAUGGUGAGGCGGCGACGUGGGCGCAGGAGAGCGUGCUCCUUUGGAGCUACCCCACGCAAGGUGGGAGAUCGAUGGCGGCGUAGGAACAAGGGCGGGCGGCUCUAUGGCUCUGACUGGAAGAGCUUCUCCUCUUCCCCCGGCUCCAGAGGAGGCUCCCGCUCAGGAGGUGACCCAGCUCCUCGCCCGGCCGCCCGCUCACAUUGACCAUUGUCGCGUGCAGCGCUCCUCGCGCCUCCCCAUCCGUGCCCCAUGAUGGUCUGCACCCCUUGGUUGCCUACCACUCCAGUCACCACACCAGAGGCACGUGGCGGAGGCAACCAAGCAGCCAUCCUGCUUCAGCAGGGGAGCCAAGAGGUUGCUGUGCAACACGAUGCAAUUGCACUCAUCAAGAACAUCAUGUAUUCCGCAAAGCAAAGAGGUAAAAUGGAAGAGGUAUUUGGGAAGAACUGCAGAAACACCAUGAGGUGAAAAAACAUUUGCCGACUGGCGUUUGCAAGUUGUUAGGUGAGUUAAUCAUGAAAUGUUCAUAUAAGCAGGUGGCCGCAAUUCCACCUGUCACUGUGAUUAAUUUGAACGUCUGUCAGUGUGUGCUAUUUAGUUCAAGAUCUGAUAGGUAUUGGCCUGGGUUACCAAGCUUACUGCAAGUUGGGAUAUAUGAUUCGUUGGUCUGAACUGUGGCUUGGUUGAUCUAAAUGUUGUAACAUCAAAACAUAUAGAGAUGUGUUAUCUAUCUUUGCACUAAUGAAAUCAUAUUAGAGAAGUACAAAUGAUCACCAGGCACAAGAUUAUUGACUAGGUCACUUUCAAUUACACUCUAUGGUCCCUUCCUUCAGGUUAUGCCUCCCUCCCCCCUUCCCUCUCUUUAGUGCGCAUACUUGCAGGGCCAAUGAGCUUGGUCUAUUUUUCAGAGUUCAAUUAGUAGCUGUAGGUGGAAGUAAUUUUUUUUCCUAAUGAGAAAACUGCAUGGUUGAAUGCAGAUUAAGCAGGAAAUUGAAAUUUUCAAAUCGAAGUUGAUUAAGUACCUUAAUGUUGUUCUCAUACAAUAAUGAUAGAUUGCUGCACACAACUUGUGGUGCUCCAAACUAUGUUGCACCAGAGGUGAUGACGCUUUGCUUUUGCAAUUUACGUGUUCUUACCUAUCCGAUUUGCGAAGAUUAGUUUCCAGCUUGUGAUUCCUUCACUUUCUGGGAAUGCAAAUUACUACAGAGAGUUAAUGCAGCCAUAGUAUACGAUGAUUUAUUGACCUCUCAGUUGUAUGCUAACAAAUGUUUGUAGAACCUGCCAUCGGAAAAGUAUUUUCUAAGGAUCGGAACGCAAGGCUGUUCAGGUAAAUAUUACCUUAGGAAUUCUGGAGUAGCAAACUGAAAUUCUGCUCAGUGUGGCAGUGCCAAGGUUUUAACUAUCUAGCCAAUGGAAAUCUGGAUUAUUGCUAUUAGAUAUGGCAACUACUGCUUGACUGAACAUAAUGAUUUGUCCUGUUUGCUACUACACUAUUUCUGCACUGAUCAUUGAUAAAAAGUAUUCAGGCUCAUGCUGAUGGAAUGUUGAUCUAUAGGUGGUUAUUCUCUGGUUUUGUAUUAAUUAAAAUGUGGUUUUGUAUGAAUUAAAAUGGCUUAGUGGGUACAUAUUUAUUUUCAGAUAAAAAGAAAGAUACAAAUAUCAGGAUCAGGGUAUGGCUGGGCAUCAAUAUUAGGAUCUGGCUUGAUGUUAACUUCUAUAGAUGGUUGUUCUUUGAUUUUGUGAACUAUAUUAUAAAUUGCCUCCGAUUGUAAGAAAACAGAGUCCAGUAAGUGGCUUCCCUUGUGUCCAUUGUAGCAUUAGUCUCUUUACUGUUUGUGACAAAGCUUCUCAAAAAAGAAUACCAUUUUUGUUUGAGGAAGGAAGAAUAGCAUUUGUUUAGGUGAACAUGUAAUGUGGAGGCUUCUUUGGUUCAGGACUGCUUAUGCAAUGGUUCUUAGGUUUCUUUGCAGUCAGGUUACAUAGCCACCAUGAUUAAGCUUACAUCAAACUAUCUCAUAUCUGCCUAUUGCAUUAAUCUUCUGUACAUCCUACUUCCUGUUUUAACUAACAUUUUAUUUAAUGGCUCUUGAAUACAUGGCAUGGCUCUUAUAGAUUUGCUGUUUGUAACAAAGAUUAUCAAGGGACGUACAGUUUCUGCGUUUUCUCAGAAAGAAAAAUGUAUUGUAUUUUUAGAUUUUAAUUGUGAAUGAGCUUUCAUAUGUACCAAAGGGAGUACCUCGAUUCAGUUUAAAACUUGCUGGUGUGUUAUUCUUUUUGACAUGCAUGUAUUUGCUGUUUAAAUCCAACCUUUAA